rnacentral:rRNA from 1 species
AGUGAACGCUGGCGGUAGGCCUAACACAUGCAAGUCGAACGGCAGCACAGUAAGAGCUUGCUCUUACGGGUGGCGAGUGACGGACGGGUGAGGAAUACAUCGGAAUCUACUUUUUCGUGGGGGAUAACGUAGGGAAACUUACGCUAAUACCGCAUACGACCUACGGGUGAAAGCAGGGGAUCUUCGGACCUUGCGCGAUUGAAUGAGCCGAUGUCGGAUUAGCUAGUUGGCGGGGUAAAGGCCCACCAAGGCGACGAUCCGUAGCUGGUCUGAGAGGAUGAUCAGCCACACUGGAACUGAGACACGGUCCAGACUCCUACGGGAGGCAGCAGUGGGGAAUAUUGGACGAUGGGCGCAAGCCUGAUCCAGCCAUACCGCGUGGGUGAAGAAGGCCUUCGGGUUGUAAAGCCCUUUUGUUGGGAAAGAAAAGCAGCAGGUUAAUACCCCGCUGUUCUGACGGUACCCAAAGAAUAAGCACCGGCUAACUUCGUG